GACGUGUCCUCUUCCGAUCUGAAUUUGUGGCUAGUUGAGAGCGCGGCGUAGAAUUUGCACCUCAAGUAUUGCUUAUGGUAUAGUUGAUUAGAUUAGAAUCUAAACUGUUUUAUAGUUAGUUGUAAUUGGAUUAAUGAACCUUGUAUUCGGAUUUGUAGAUAGAACCUUUGUAGCUUGUACGUUUGGGUUUAGUUGGUAGUCCAAACAUGGCAUAACACCCCAUUGAGUUUAAAGUUUUGAUU